CCCCUGUUCUGUUCCUUUGGCAUGCUGGUGAUGUUCUCUCUGGAAUGCCCACUGGUGAGGAGAAACUCACUCACCACCCUGAAGGCCAAGUGCAAAGGAAGAAUCCAGGAAGCCUUUCUGAUACCUUUGGUAGGAAAUUGUCACCUCUGCUCUCAACUGCGCAUAUAGCAUCUACUAUAUACAGAUACUUGUCCCACGUCUCCCCACAGGCAGCAUGGACACUUUCCUGCCUGCCUCUCUGUGCAGCAGUGUGACAGCACUUUGAUAAAGUGUAAGCAAAACCCAUGAGGCAAAAAGAGAAAUAUACAGAACAAGACUAGGACCAGAUGGUUAAAGUCAGCCACUGCUUUGAGUCUUUCUGGUUGUCAUGGACACAAUCUUUUCUAUUGUUAGUAGCUCCUGUCUCUAUGGUGAGCUCAUACUUAGAACCAGAACUUUACAAAGGCAAGAAAGAGGAUUGACUGUGGGCGAAUAUUUAAAUGAAGGGAGAAGCAGGUAGAGAGAGAAUCAAAAGAUGGGGAAAAGACUAAAAUGUCUGGCUUUACAGUGGCUCCCCUCCCCCAACGAAUAUAUAUAUUUUUUGUUAGGACUUAACCCAGUGGGACCAGUUCCAGCUAUAAACAAAGGCUCCCAAAAGCUGAGGCAAAAGCCAUACCUUGUACAGGUCUACAUUCUUUACUACACGGCCACGCACCAAGUUAGAAACAGAGAAUUAAUUCACGGAGUGGUAGUUUUGCUUCACAGAAGAGAAGAAGUAAGGUUUCCUUGUCGGGUGCACAAACAGGCCGUGAGUGUCUCAAUUUAUUUUGUGAAACUGUGAUAGCUUUGAUGCAAAACUAUGGCCAAGAGAACACCAAUUUCAUGUAUGAAUACAGAGGUAAUCCAAAUAUACGGUGAGUAUUUAAAUUUGAAAAAGUUAUUACAGUAAAAGAUACAUUACCUCUCAAGAUGCUUCCCUGUGCUUUCAACAUGCUCAUCCCAUAAUUCUUGACACUUUCUGAAGAGUUCAAUAAGUCUUCUUUCAUGAGUGUCUUCACGAGGUAUGAUCAAAACUCUGGUGAAUGUUGC
rnacentral:lncRNA from 1 species